UGCAGACGAAGUCAAUUAUAUAUGAAAAAAAAAAUAUUUUUUGACUAAUUUUUACAAAAAAAAAAUCUAACCAUGAGUAGUUUUUAGAGUUUGACUCGUACGAGACAGGAGGGGAUUCGAGAUGGGUAUAAGUGAUAUUGGAAUCGAUAUAUUAUAUCCUAAAUCGUCUUCAAAUCUCGAUCAAAAUUAGUCAAAAUUAAUUUGAUCGAAUGGAAUUGGGCCGCUGCGUCGUAUCUCGCUGGCUGCAAUUAUGACGUGCAUCGGAAUCAUAUCCGCUGGCACUUGAAUUCCUCGUCUCGGUGGUCGGUGACCAGUAGUGCUUCCUCUUGAUAUCCUCUCUGUCGUGGAGCAAGUGAGGUUCCUUGUCUCCCUCCUCGUAUAGCAUGCCUUGUCCCCGUCCUCCCUCUUCAAAGGUCGGCAUCAAUCGAGCAGCUCAAGGCACUAUUCACGUAAGCUUACCCAGUGUCCGUAUCUUGUUCUUCCUAUGGCAACAAUGAAUGCCCAGCAAUUGUUCGACAAAAUUCCCCAGCUAAAACAACUCGUGUUGGGCUGGGGGUGUGCAGCAGAAAAGUGCGUGAGGUGCACUUACGGCGAUGAACUUAUCGACGGAAAGGAAGACAAGGAUAAGAGAACAAAACGGAGUCACGGAGGACCUACUGUGGCCGACCGUGUUUUGCUCUACGCGUUUCACGUUGGUCCGCCACUUUCUUUUACCCCGAGAAAACUCGAUUAGUUCGAUGUCCUUGGAUUCAUGAACUCAUCUCAGAAGACUGCACAGAUCGCGAUGGAUGUAAUUUUCUCAAGAGAUCUGCAAUGAAGACUGUCACGAAUUUCAAGCAGCGUUCGCAGUGAAGAAUUGAAGUCAUCCACAUCCAUGGCGACGCGUUGCAAGCCUUCAUGAAUGCAGGAAAUAACGUCAUAUUAGCUUCA